rnacentral:lncRNA from 1 species
ACACCGGCUUCUCGGACUCCUGGAGGGAAUGUUUGCUUAGCGGCCGGAGCUGGCGGUGAGGCCCUGGUUCUCUAGAACCCUGUAUCCCUUCCUGGCCUUGCCCUCACGGGCUGGUCUGGGGUGGCGAAGACUGAAUUGUUUCAAGUCUCUUCAAUAUUAAGAAGAGGGGCGCAGUGCUGCUGCUGAUCUGUUGCUCACUCCUGGGCUCCCUUCCGUAGCUCCACCUCCCACCCUAAGAUUCAGAGGCCCCCAUGCCAGGGAGGCAAACGCUUGUAGGGUCCAAGCAGUUGAGUGCCAACGCUAGAAAGGCAAACGGCGGGUCAGACCUAGGCGAGGGGCAUCCGUGACUGUGGGCUGGGACUAGUUCUCGUGAAGCAGGCAACUGGUGCUGAACACAGUGUGCUGGGAGGGGCCGCUCAUUAGCAUAUGUGAAAAGCCAGCUAAGAGCUAGAGGAAGGUGGAAUGGAAAUAGUCCCCGAGACUGCUUGUGACCUUAAGAAGCCAAAGAUGAAUUGUGGAUCUGGCAGAUCUGUUUCAAUUUAUUUUCAAGCUUUGGGAAUCUCUUUUCCCUACCUAGAUUCUCCAAAAAGGCAACUCUUUACCACUCCCUCCCGACCCAGGCGGGGGAAAGGCUGGGGCAUCUGAGGCCUGGACGGAGCAGCGGAGCCCUGCCCACUGCCAGCCCUGCAUGGUAGAUGGCGGCGGAUAUGUAGGGAGGUUUCCUGAGAGCUGUUUGCUCUUUUUGUGUUCACUCCGUCUCACUUCCUGGGCAGGAUUUGCCUUUAAAGGACAAAGCAAGUCCUUUGGGGCCGAUGACAUGGGCUUCAGCCUUCAGGGUCCCUGUUGGUCUCUGCUCUAGUCCCGGGGGCCUGUGCUGGUCCAGAGUGGGGAGGCAAGAGUUGGAGAAGGCAUGAGACCCCUCCACCAUGAGUCAGACCCUGGUGGGGGCUGCUGGACCCAGCGAGCCUGUGAUGCUGGAAGGGAAGUUCUGUGGGAGGUGGCGCUGCUUUCCGAGACUCCAGCCACAGGGUCCUCUGUGCCCCCAAAUGUCCUUCACUUUGAUUUAAUACCC